rnacentral:rRNA from 1 species
CACGUAGGGCGCGAGCGUUGUCCUGAAUUAUUGGGCGUAAAGAGCUCGUAGGCGGCCUGUUGCGUCCGCUGUGAAAGCCCGGGGCUUAACCCCGGGUCUGCAGUGGAUACGGGCAGGCUAGAGGUAGGUAGGGGAGAAUGGAAUUCCCGGUGUAGCGGUGAAAUGCGCAGAUAUCGGGAGGAACACCGGUGGCGAAGGCGGUUCUCUGGGCCUGUUCUGACGCUGAGGAGCGAAAGCGUGGGGAGCGAACAGG